UUGCAUAUUUUUCUACUUUCAAGAUGCAUGAAUAAGCUCGUUUUCUAGCAAUUUUGUCCGAAACAACUGAUUUCGGUGCGGAGAAGCUUGAAUUCCUGCAUUAGGGGAGAACCAAGAAGAUGUCAACUUAUUGUUGCUAUUCACCAAGAUCAUAAGCACCAAUUUGUUCAUUCAGCUCAAACUGUGACAACAUCAUCCGAUGAUCCAAGAAGAUACCAAGCAUUUGAUCGCUUCACCCUCACAGCACAGGGGAAGUAGUUCACACCCUUGACAUAAAGAACAGAUGAACCCUCGUGGAGUGACAAUAGAUCAUGCACUAUAGGCCUCCAAAAGACUGCCCUGCCAUGGCUAUUUGCUUGCUCUUCUUUCUAAAAUGGAAAGGGAACGCUGUUUCUUAAGACGUGCCGACCUGGUGACCAGUAGCUUACUAACCAUAGUGAGAGACGUGUUGAGCCGUGUGGUUGCAGAGGGUACGUUAAUUCGAGUUUUGUAAACUACUUGUUUAUAACUUUCGAAACACCCUUGGUUUGUGAAUGAAUUUUGUAUUGCGCACACCUUUAAAACUUAAUAGUAUUGUUAUAAUG